AAUAUUACACAUUAACUCCUCCAGGCCAUAAAUGGGGACUUUGGUCCCAUCUCCCAGGACCCAGAAUGAACAGAUAGGAGGCUCCACACUCGGGGCACACCUAGCCCCACCCAGAGCAUCCUCCUGACUUCCCUGCACCCAGCCUCCUGCCUCCAGCUCCCCUGCACCCCACCCCCUGCCCAGCCCAGUCUGGCUGGGGAUGAGGCCAGAUGGGUGUCAGCACGAACACCCUGUGAGCUUGGCAAGCCGCCCUGGUCCUGAGCCCCGCUUCCUCAUCUGCAAACAGAGAGACUUGCCCUGUUAAAAAAAAAAAAAAAAAACCUUGAAGCUUCUCAUUUUCUGUGAUGUCAAGAUUGAUUCUGAGAGCCCUUUUGUCUUGCUUUUUCCCCUCGUGCCAUGACUUUUCUGAUCCUACGGGCAUCCUUGGAUGUUAAGGCUGCCGGAGUAGAUGUCCAGCCCUGCCUCUCCACCUCCAACCAGCUGACUGUCUCUCCUUCAAGAGAUUUCCACAGAGCUCUUGCUUCCUCCAGCCCAGG
rnacentral:lncRNA from 1 species